UGGUAGCAAUAUCAAGGAUGUCUAGUGGCGUAAGGGUGCGUAACACGUGGGCAAUCUGCCGAGAAGUGGGGGAUAGCUCGCCGAAAGGCGAAUUAAUACCGCAUGUGGUUAGUGAAGACAUCUUCACGAUACCAAAGCCGGGGCAACCUGGCGCUUCUUGAUGACCCCGCGGCCUAUCAGCUAGUUGGUGAGGUAACGGCUCACCAAGGCUAUGACGGGUAGCUGGUCUGAGAGGACGACCAGCCACACUGGAACUGAGACACGGUCCAGACACCUACGGGUGGCAGCAGUCGAGAAUUUUUCUCAAUGGGGGAAACCCUGAAGGAGCGACGCCGCGUGGAGGAUGAAGGUCUUCGGAUUGUAAACUCCUGUCAUUUGGGAACAAGUUGCAUCGGUUAACUGCCGAUGCAUUGAUAGUACCAGAAGAGGAAGAGACGGCUAACUCUGUGCCAGCAGCCGCGGUAAUACAGAGGUCUCAAGCGUUGUUCGGAUUCAUUGGGCGUAAAGGGUGCGUAGGUGGCGGGGUAAGUCUGGUGUGAAAUCUCGGGGCUCAACCCCGAAACUGCACUGGAUACUGCCUUGCUUGAGUACUGGAGAGGAGAUUGGAAUUUACGGUGUAGCAGUGAAAUGCGUAGAUAUCGUAAGGAAGACCAGUGGCGAAGGCGAAUCUCUGGACAGUUACUGACACUGAGGCACGAAGGCCAGGGGAGCAAACGGGAUUAGAUACCCCGGUAGUCCUGGCAGUAAACGGUGCGCGUUUGGUGUGGGAGGAUUCGACCCCUUCUGUGCCGGAGCUAACGCGUUAAACGCGCCGCCUGGGGAGUACGGUCGCAAGAUUAAAACUCAAAGAAAUUGACGGGGGCCCGCACAAGCGGUGGAGUAUGUGGCUUAAUUCGAUGCAACGCGAAGAACCUUACCU
rnacentral:rRNA from 1 species